rnacentral:rRNA from 1 species
GAUGAACGCUGGCGGCGUGCCUAAUACAUGCAAGUCGAGCGAACAGACGAGGAGCUUGCUCCUCUGACGUUAGCGGCGGACGGGUGAGUAACACGUGGAUAACCUACCUAUAAGACUGGGAUAACUUCGGGAAACCGGAGCUAAUACCGGAUAACAUGUUGAACCGCAUGGUUCAACAGUGAAAGACGGUCUUGCUGUCACUUAUAGAUGGAUCCGCGCCGCAUUAGCUAGUUGGUAAGGUAACGGCUUACCAAGGCAACGAUGCGUAGCCGACCUGAGAGGGUGAUCAGCCACACUGGAACUGAGACACGGUCCAGACUCCUACGGGAGGCAGCAGUAGGGAAUAUUCCGCAAUGGGCGAAAGCCUGACGGAGCAACGCCGCGUGAGUGAAGAAGGUCUUCGGAUCGUAAAACUCUGUUAUUAGGGAAGAACAAAUGUGUAAGUAACUAUGCACGUCUUGACGGUACCUAAUCAGAAAGCCACGGCUAACUACGUG